CACGUAGUUAGCCGGAGCUUAUUCCUCGGGUACCGUCAUGUUUCGUCCCCGAUUAAAGAUCUUUACAACCCGAAGGCCUUCUUCAAUCACGCGGCGUUGCUGCGUCAGGGUUCCCCCCAUUGCGCAAUAUUCCCCACUGCUGCCUCCCGUAGGAGUCUGGGCCGUGUCUCAGUCCCAAUGUGGCCGUUCAACCUCUCAGUCCGGCUACUGAUCGUCGCUUUGGUGGGCCGUUACCCCGCCAACUGGCUAAUCAGACGCGAGCUCAUCUUUGGACAAUAAAUCUUUGGCAGCAGGACCAUGCGAUCCCGUUGCAUUAUGCGGUAUUAGCAGCCGUUUCCGGCUGUUAUCCCCCAUCCAAAGGCAGAUUGCUCACGCGUUACUCACCCGUCCGCCACUAAGCUAAAGAUUCCGCUCCCCGAAGGAAGUUUCCUGAAUAGCUCCGUUCGACUUGCAUGUGUUAGGCACGCCGCCAGCGUUCAUCCUGAGCCAGGAUCAAACUCU
rnacentral:rRNA from 1 species